GAUGAACGCUGGCGGCGUGCCUAAUACAUGCAAGUCGAGCGAACAGACGAGGAGCUUGCUCCUCUGACGUUAGCGGCGGACGGGUGAGUAACACGUGGAUAACCUACCUAUAAGACUGGGAUAACUUCGGGAUACCGGAGCUAAUACCGGAUAAUAUAUUGAACCGCAUGGUUCAAUAGUGAAAGACGGUUUUGCUGUCACUUAUAGAUGGAUCCGCGCCGCAUUAGCUAGUUGGUAAGGUAACGGCUUACCAAGGCAACGAUGCGUAGCCGACCUGAGAGGGUGAUCGGCCACACUGGAACUGAGACACGGUCCAGACUCCUACGGGAGGCAGCAGUAGGGAAUCGUCCGCAAUGGGCGAAAGCCUGACGGAGCAACGCCGCGUGAGUGAUGAAGGUCUUCGGAUCGUAAAGCUCUGUUAUUAGGGAAGAACAAAUGUGUAAGUAACUAUGCACGUCUUGACGGUACCUAAUCAGAAAGCCACGGCUAACUACGUG
rnacentral:rRNA from 1 species